rnacentral:RNase_P_RNA from 1 species
GCUGCAGGGUGACCGGUCGCUCUUGUUCUCUUUGGAGUGCGAGAGAGGAAAGUCCGGACUCCACAGGGCAGGGCGUCCAGAAUGGAAACAUUCGGGAGCGGUGCGGUAAACCGCAUUGACGGAAAGUGCCACAGAAAACAUACCGCCAUCCGGAUUCCGGAAGGUAAGGGUGAAAAGGGGGUGUAAGAGACCACCGUUUUGCAUCGCGAGGUGCAGAGCAAGGCAAACCCCGCCCGGAGCAAGAUCGAAUAGGAGGUCUGAAGCGGCCCGUUUCCUCCCGCGAUUGCGGGGGACCGCAAGCUUUGCUUGCGGAAGACCUCGGGUUGAUCGCAUAGAUAAAUGACUGGCUGCCGUUGGCAGGAACAGAAUCCGGCUUACUGCACCUUGCAGCUCAC